GUGAGGAAUAUUGCGCAAUGGAGGCAACUCUGACGCAGCCAUGCCGCGUGCAGGAAGAAGGCGCUACGCGUUGUAAACUGCUUUUAACCGGGAAGAAACCCCAGGACGUGUCCUGGGUUGACGGUACCGGAGGAAUAAGCACCGGCUAACUUCGUGCCAGCAGCCGCGGUACUACGAAGGGUGCAAGCGUUAUCCGGAUUCAUUGGGUUUAAAGGGUGCGUAGGCGGAGCGUUAAGUCAGUGGUGAAAUCCUGCAGCUUAACUGUAGACUUGCCAUUGAUACUGGCGCUCUUGAGUGCGCUUGAAGUGGGCGGAAUGUGCCGUGUAGCGGUGAAAUGCUUAGAUAUGGCACAGAACACCAAUUGCGAAGGCAGCUCACUAAGGCGAUACUGACGCUGAGGCACGAAAGCGUGGGGAUCGAACAGGAUUAGAAACCCGUGUAGUCC
rnacentral:rRNA from 1 species